AAGUGUGGUAAACGUUUGAAUUAUAUAUAUAAAAAAAGAAUGUUCUGUUGGAAAAAGUAUAGCCAUUUAUUAACGUUUUCGAAAGGAGCGGUAAAGUAGUUGUGACGUCACCGAGACACUCAAGCCGGCGAUGAUGGAGCUAAUGAUGCUGAUGGUAAAAGAGCAACCAGCUGACCAGACAAGGACGCUGAUUUGAAAGACUUCAGCUCUAAUUUAUCCUCAACUCUGCGAGGUCACACAAGCUGCAGACAGCAUCUUAUUAGGCGCUCGCUAGAGGGACGCCAUAAUAAUGAAGUAGAUGAGGACGCCAUCAGGAAGCACCGCGAGACGAGAAGGGCCCCACCUUCUGAAAUGCAUCUCCAAUUGAGAACCCCCAGAUCAAUGUGUGGAGCUCAGCGAACGACAAGGAUCAGACUCGGGAUGGAAGCGCCAAAAACUACAACAAAGCUGGCGGGGAGAAGACGCUGUUGAAGUGGAGG